GCUGGGAGCCAGGAGGGCUGGCGCUCGGGACACCUCCUCCCGGUGUGCUGCCAAGGACGGUGGCAGUGUCCGGUGUCCUCCCGCCCAGGGCGGCGGCCCCGGGCACACGGCAUCCGUCCCUGCUGCUCGCCCGAGCCCCUCGGGACCUGCUUCUGCCGGGAGAGGCAAGGUAACCUCGCCACUGAAAAUAGCUGGGACGGCGGCCAGCCGAGAUUAAUGGCUUCAUUAACGUCCCCAGUUUAUUUAUAGGCUUAAAAAUGCCUUGGACCUGCAAACUGAGCAUAGUUGCUCCGUGUAAGGCAGGGAAGCACAGGUCUCCUGCUUCUGCCUUUCCCUUUCCUGCUAUUUCAUUCUGAUUGCUGGGUCUGUAAAACCUCUGAAGCAAGCACUGUUUCUCAUUGUGAAGCUACUUUGUAAACCUUCCUAACUGAAAGGACACACACAGAUACUCUUUUUCUAUUUUUUUUUUCAAGAAUGCUGUAUUUGUCUGGUUUCCUUCCUCUACCGACUUUUUCUGUGCACACUGUGUCCUGUGGCCCUCUUAGAGAAAAUUCUCUUUUUGAUGAAUUCCUGAGGCAAAGGCUGAGCAGCCAUCACAGGAAUUAGUGACUUCCCACCUUGGGUUUUAAACUGUGAGCUCUGUGGGAGGAAGACUGAGAUUUUCAUACCUGUGGAGAGCAUGGAGGGCACUUAGGACAUGUAGGGCCCUGGUGAGAAAUGCAGUUGCAAUUAAUGAUUGUGGAGGUCUUCCAACAAAAGCCAGCACGCCCAGUGUCCAGUCCUCCAGGAGCCUUGUGGAACUGGUGAGAAAAGGAAAAAACACCCCAAGUGUGUUUGCCCCAGAAGAAGAGUUUUUGGCUCAUGACCUGUGGCCAUAGUGCUUGGCCUGUUUCCCAGCACAUGCUGAAAGAGACCUUCUGUUUCCUGGAGGCUGGCGGCUUCGAAAAAAAUCACAGCUCCAUUGUGCUCCAAAGUCAUGCUGAAUGAUUCAGAUGGAAAGAAAAACCGACGUCAGAAGGAACAGGGGACUCAAAGAUGAGUGUUGAGGCCAGCAGACCAGGAACAUUGAUCCCAGGCAGCAGCACAUCCUGAGAAUGUUGCACCCUGUGACAGCAGCAUUACAGUUUAUCCCUCUGUGCCAUGGGUCUGUGGAAGACAAGUGCUGCUCCUGGUAUUGGGGGUGUCCCUGAGCACCCCUGGCCCCACAGGACUGGCAUCGAUUGCCGGGGGGUGGUGGAGCAGCAGGAAAAUGCUCCUGUCCUACCUGGAGGCCGCAGAUCCAGCUCCCAGCAGCUGGGGAGGUGAAUUCACUCCUUCCUCCUGGAGCAGGGCUGCCAGCAGUGGAGGUCACACAGGGCAGGAGGAAGGGACAGGGUCACCGGCGGCAGAGGCAGGGAGGGGCAGAGCCUGGGGGCUCCUGUGCGGAAGCAGAGCAUGCAGUGAUAGACAGUGUUGCCACCACCAAACAUCUGGUGCGAAUGCUCCCCAAAAACAGAUCACUUCCUUCUUCCACCUCAAAGGAAACAGUGUUGGAGGGAGAUUCAGAUAUGGCAGGACUGGUGCAAGGAGGGGUUUAGUUCACCGUCAGCCUCCCAUUGGGAGCCACUUAAACAUUCCAGGUUGUGACUCUGGGACCAGACAUCAGUCUCAGGCAGGUUCUAAGGUCCUGCGAAAUGACCCAACAACCCAUGUGGGUGCUGAGCUUCUUAGCGCCCUGGAGCAGAAACCCACCAGCACUUUCCAUCGGUGGCUGGUAUUGCAAAACCAAUCCCUCUCUUCCCAAAAGCUGCCCUGGUGCCAAGGGGCUCAGGCUGUGAUCAGCCCUCACAUGCAUUUUCCUGUACCAGUUUUACAUUACAGUGCUGCUUCACAGCAUCUUCCUCAUUGGCAGGCGUCAGGAGAAAUGUGUGUCAACAAAUCUGAAGUGAGCAUAAGCGCCACUAUAGUCAAGUCUGAUAAUAAAACAUGAGUCACUGUUACUCAAUCAUUUACCAGCGCACGUCUUGCAUGAAAGUUCUCUCUUCUAGGAAUCACCACCACACAAAUUUGAGAGUUGUUUUAAAGAGCACCCUGAUUUUACUUUCAACUGCCUGAUUGAGUUUUCAGGGGGCUGGUUCCUGCUAUCCCUCCUUGCAGCCCACCGCCCCAUGCUCCCUCUGCUCUGCGUUUCAAAGCCAGGCAUGAGGCACCCAGCCCUGGCAUGACCUGGUGUUCUGCCCAGGAGUUUUCACACCCAGUAUCUCCCCAACACCAGGAGUGAGCUGGCAGCAAGGAGAGGGCUGCUGGGACUGACCCCCCCCAGUUGCCAUCUGUAGUGCUGCUGCACAGUGUUCCGGGGAUGCGCAUUUUCCCGUGGGAUGGGAUGAGGAAGAGUGUGGUCAACCCCAGCAUUUUGGCAAGGGAGACUUUUUCCCAUAAAGAUAUUAUUUUCAUUGUUUUCUUACAUUUCACUUUGGGAAGGAGCAGGAGGUCAGGGAUGUCAUCCCAGACAUUUCUUCAAAACUGUUUUUAUCCUUGGUUACAAAUGCCCCUGCCAAACACAGCAGCACACGUCCUCGGUUUUCCCUCUGUAAGCCUGAUUUUUUGAAUGGCUUCUUGGAAAAAGCAUUUACAUGGUGACCUCUUGCUGCUCUAAGAUGUGCAGGGAGAUGGGUCCUUUCCAGGCAUUCAAGCUGUAGUGCUUGGUCCUUCCUGUUUUUACUGAGGAACUUUUGGGAGGUCAGAAAUACAUGAAUUGAGCUUUUGCUGCCUUAAUAGGUGAAAGGCUGCUGGAAGCACGUGGAUAAACUUCCUCCGUGCCAAAUGACCGCCAUUUAAGUAAAACACUUUUUAACAAUAGACGCAAAAUUUUAAAAGGUGUAGUUAAAAAAAAAAAACCACAUUUGCCUGUCUGUCCUCCUUGCUCUGUGCUGCUCUGCCUCUUGCUGCCUAGCUUGAUCUCCAGCACUCCUGCUGCAGGGAAGGCUUGAGCUUCUGAUGUGGCAAACAGGUAGACUAAGCUAAUUUAUCACUCAAGUCUUUUAUUCCAUCACAGAGUGGCAAAAGGGAAGGCUCGUCUCUCUUGUGGGUCACCUCUAAUAGCAAUUGCUUUCAAGCAAGAUGGAUUUCAAAAUUAGGUGCUCUUGAAGCAGAAGCCACACUGUAUUUUUCAACAGCACAAAGCAGCCGUAAGAGGAAUCUGACCUUCAUUCUUCAUAAUAAAUUCACUGGGGAAAAAAAAAAUCCAUCUUUGUUUUUCAGCUUGAAGUACUGUCAAAAGAAAAGCCAGGGCACACACAACAUUUACAAAAUAAAAAUACAAGACAACUUCAGCAAAAUGAUAAAAAAUUCAGAGAUUUACUUUUCCUGCUUUUUCUUACUCAAACAUUGGAAUAGUCUGACAGCUUGCCUGCAAGUACAUUGUUUUGAAAUAAAGGUUGGUGUUAAAAUGGAUCUAUACUAAGCUAAAUUAAGACCACCUCAAAGCAGUUUUCAGAUGUAGAAUGCAAUCCAGUAGCUAAAUCUGGGAAAAAGUUUAUCAAUACACAUCCACAUUUAGGCACUUCAUUGGACUUAGCACGUUUGUAAAACGUCUCUGAAUGUAUUUCAUGUGCUAAAAUAAUAUCUGCUGCAGCCUGCCAAAGGAAAAUGCCAGUUAUUUUCUGCUAAAGCGCCCCAAAAAGAUGUGAUCUGCAGAGAAGUACAGACUCGUAAGCUAAAGAAUAUAAUGGAGGAAUGCUUGAAAAUAUUUGGCAUUUUACUGUUACUAAUAAGAUGAUUGGUAUAUUUGAGUCCUAAAAACCUGUAGCUGGUCAGCUGCCACUGGCACAGCCUGGAAAUGGUGAAAAUUAAUUGUCGCUUGUAUUAAACACUAUCUUU
rnacentral:lncRNA from 1 species